CUUCGGUACUUUGGGGGUCUCUGAGCAGAGGGACGCGGUAUGACCAGGUGUAAGAUCUAGCAGCCCUGCUGGAAGCUGUUAAUAGCUCCCCAGGCUGCACGAGGAAGGGUACAGCUUGCUCAUCACCUGCACCCUGUGACUCUCCUUGCAUCAGUGACCCCCGGACCCCCAGCUGUGAUUGCCCACCCGCUCACCAGGACUGCGGAAAAGAUGUCCACAAACACUUCUUCCAUCCUGGAGGCCACAUCCGGUACCUGCUCCCUCAUUCUCUCCAUCCGCAGCGGACACAUUUUCAGGCAACAUUAAGAACACGCAACGCCG